AUUUGGUUUGGUUUGAUUUGAUUUGGACUUGUUAUACCCUGAGAUUUUUGAUGUUUUCAUCUUUCGGAAACACUAGGAAUAUGUUUUUGAAUAUGAUAGAGAUGAAAUUGCAAAUCUGUGAAGUGAGAAUCCAUGGCUUAGUGAAGAAAUGGUUCUAAGAUUGGGUAUUUGAAUCAAGAGCUAUGGUUAAUAUGGUCGAAUUGAUAUGAUAUGCUUCACUCAGCUGGGCAUUUGCUAGAUGUAUGUGUGUAUGAAGAAUGUCCACGCAAAGGCUACCAUUUCCCUCAAGGACUAAGAACACUUCAGCUGUGUGCUUUGGAUUGAAAGAGAUAAAAGGAUUUUUGAAGUCUAUAUAGGUGCAGUGGUGGAAAAGCUUUGGGAGAGACUUGGGUUAUGGGAAACUUUUUAUGGCUUCUGUUUAUGGGGAACUUCAAACCUACACUCUUUCUUCUAUAAUCUUUUCAUGGAAAGCAGCUAUAUUUUAUAGGUUGUCGCUUGAUUAGGUUGAUUUGUUGGCAGUUUAUCUUGUCUUGUUUGUUGUCUUUCUGCCUUCUAUUGUGAUUUGUUCAUGCGGAGUCCUUGUUCACUUUGUUGUAUCAUGUUAGCUUUUUAGGCAUUUCUUGAGGUGUUAAAGAAAUGAUUAAAGACACUUUUGGA